rnacentral:rRNA from 1 species
ACGCUCGACACCUACGGGAGGCAGCAGUCGGGAAUAUUGCGCAAUGGAGGAAACUCUGACGCAGUGACGCCGCGUGCAGGAAGAAGGUUUUCGGAUUGUAAACUGCUUUAGACAGGGAAGAAAGAAAUGACAGUACCUGUAGAAUAAGCUCCGGCUAACUACGUGCCACAGCCGCGGUAAUCUGAGCGGCUGGCAAGGC